UCCAACAGACGUUAGAUAUUGUACGAGGAGUAUCAGGGUUUCAGCUCCGAUGGUGAGGAAGUCGAGGGUUUGUAUUCCAGGGAGAGAUUUGUCGUGGUCGCUGAGAGAUCUUCUCGCUGGGAUUGGGAGCACUGAGGAGCUUCAACUGGGUCCUGAAGUGGUUCAGUGCUUGUCGUCAUGCUACACCCCUUUGGAGUUCGCCUCUACUUUUCAGAAGCUAAAGAAAUUGCAGCUAAUUGACGUAUGGACUAAAGAUACAGAACAGACUCCUGCACUUCACUUCUCCAAAGCUUCUCUCAGUUACGAGAGUUAUAUGAGUUGAGGUAAGGGACAUGCCUCAAGAAAACAAUCUUCUGGCCACUUUGAUCGAUAGACGAAGUGUACGUGAUGGUCGCAAGAUGGAGCAAGCAAUUGUUAUUGGUUUCAUUGGUAACUUAAAUGAAGUAGAGAUGGAGAAAUUUCUAAGGCAGAAAUUAAAGCUCGAGUUUUGAAGGGCAUUGUACUAGA